rnacentral:tRNA from 1 species
GUCCGGGUGGCUCAGUUGGUUAAGCAUCUGACUUUAGCUCAGGUCAUGAUGUCACGGCUCGUGGGUUCAAGCCCCACGUCAGGCU